rnacentral:rRNA from 1 species
AUGAUCCCGGGCACGAAGGAAUGGAAUGUUGAGCUUAUCAGGAAAAUAUAUCAUACCUUUGACGUUGUUGAAAUAUGCAAAAUCCGGAUUUCAUAUGAGGAGGUUGAGGACUGUGUGGCAUGGCACUAUGAAAAAACGGGUGUCUUUACCGUUAAAAGUGCCUACAAGCUUGUUGAUACAGUCAAAAGAAAUGGAAGGGGGGCGCCUUUCAUCUCGUCGAACAAGCCCGAGAAUAGAAGCAUUUGGGAUGUUAUAUGGAAGGCAAAAAUCCCAGAGAAAAUAAAGAUUUUCGGAUGGAGAGUGGCGACCCAAUCGUUGGCAACUAAGCAUAAUACUUUCAGAAGAACCAUUAUCAAAGAGGAUGUGUGUGAUAUAUGUGGGAUGGAAAGUGAGGAUGAAUUUCAUGCAGUUAUAUCUUGCACUAGAAGUAAAGCGUUGAGAGCUGCCAUGAGGACACACUGGGAAAUCCGAAAGGAAUCACAAUUCAGAGGAACAGGCGACGACUGGCUGCAAAACCUCCUUCUUCCACAAUCAAACAAUGUAAGAAAUAAUAUAAUGAUGGUCUUGUGGAAAGCCUCGAGCCUCAGAAAUAACAUUAUCCAUGGGGAUGGCAAAGAGACUGUCACAGGAGCGAUGCAUCAACUCCUCAGACCGAGCGAUGAUGUGCUAGUGGCUGUUCAUGCAACAAGUGCUCCUGACAGUAAGUGUGCAAUCUCCUUAUUUGGCCAUAGCGAAUAUAGGGCCUCUCCCCUGAAACCCCGUUUCUGGAAGGCCCCUCCCUUUGGGAUUGCUAAACUAAACUGUGAUGCAGCUUUCUUUAGUGAAUCUGGCGACACCUGGGGGGCGGGGGGGCGCUGUGGCUCGAGAUCAUCAAGGUCACGUAUACAUCUCGGUCGGACGCAAGCUAAGAUAAUGCAUCUCAACUGA